UUGCAAACCUUCCAGCAUGCUUGGGUCUAGGGUGACUCUGUAUUCCUCCAGUGCUUGCUAGAACGUUCUGAACUGUUUUGAGACUUUGCCCUGUCCCUUCCGCAGAGCGUGGUCAUAGACAUUUCAGACAGUU